rnacentral:misc_RNA from 1 species
UUAUCUUAUCCAUUGACUUUUUUAUAUUUAUUAAAUUAUAAAAAUUCAAGAGUUAAUUUAUGCAUUCAGCCUUUUCAUUAUAUAGCUACAAGUGUUGGCAUAAGCAAUGAUCUUAUGAAAUUUACGGGAUUACUACAUGACGGUAACAUACAUGGCGACUCACCGGCCAUUUACAACGAUCACAAUGAUCACCCGAAAGUCUUUCCCCUCUAGUAAAAGAAUCCACCAACUCCAUUCUUCCACUCAAGUGAAGAGAAUCAUCAUAUUAAGAGCAAGGAACCAUGGAUGACAGAACCUUUUGAUUCCAGCCCAUACCACAUCCUGAGGAAAGUAUGAAUAGAGUACGUUGUUGGUAUUUACACUCAAAUGGGCCUUGUUCUUGGAGAUGCUCCAGGUGUUCUGCUUUUUAAAAAAGUGGAUUCCAAGCCAAUAUCAUGAGCAUAUAUUGUGUUUGGUCUUGUCGAAUACAAUGAGUAAUCACUUAAGUUGUAACCACUUUGUCCGACCAAUGCAUAUGUUGGGUGAGGUGGCGAAAGGAAACAGCUCUUGUGAGCUGAUCCAUAUUGUCGUAAAGGGCUAGAACAAGGGGAUACCGGUAAAGAUGUGAACAUUGAGUCAUCCCUCGCUUUCUUCAAUCCUCUGGUAUUAGUUAGCACUUGCUUCAUUGCAUAAUCUCCAUCAGACAAAGUUAAACUCGUUCUAUUGGAGUGGAGAUCUAUCAGAGGCGGCGUGUGGCUUCCAUCAAAAGUGUAUGGAAAGGCAUCCGUUGUUAUGUUGAAGUUAGCAGCUCUUGUUGUUGAUUGGUCUCUAAUGAAAGGAUGGUCCAACAAUUGUGAAGCUGUAGGGCGUGCUGAUGGAUCCCGUUGCAAGCACAACUUUAUAAAACUUUUUGCAUCAUUUGACAGGUGAUCAGGUAUAUCAGGCAUAUCUUUGCUGUUUCCAAUUUUGAAUAUUGCAGCGACCCCUUCAUACUGGUUCCAUGGCGGCUUUGAUGUUGCCAUUUCAAGAAUUGUACAUCCCAAGCUCCAAAUAUCGACUGCAAGACUGUAGCCGUUUGUAUUCAUUACAACCUCAGGCGCCAUCCAGUAAGGACUUCCCUUGAAGGAAAGCAUUGAAGAACAAGCAUUAAUCUGAUUAGAACACAAAUUGAAAAGGCUAUCAAUAAUAAGCCAACAUUGAAUGGCAGGGCAAAAAUAAAAAUUUUAUCACCAUUUGCAGGCGAGAGCAAAUUUAUAAGUAAACUUAUCUAUCUCUCUGACUUAUCAGAAAGUGAAAUAUCAUUUUAUUUUUGCAAAAUUCAGGAAUUGAAAUCUAAAGAUUGAAAUGUGGCAUACAUGUUUUGCCAUGCCAAAGUCAGCCAGCUUGAUUUCACCAUUAGGAUCUACUAAUAUGUUAGCCCCUUUGAUAUCCCUGUGCACAGUAUUUCUUCCAUGCAAAUAGGCAAGCCCACAAAGAAUCUGCCUGGUAUAAUUUUGAAUUACGGGAUCCUUUAAGGCACCAUAUUCUUGAAGUAAUUUGUGAAUUGAGCCACCAGAGACAUACUCUAAAUAAACUGAAAGUGUUUCUUCACUCUAAGCAAAUGGAAAGCAAAACAAUUACCAAAGCAGGGUCUAAUAUUCACAACCAACUACUUGAAUUGAACAAAGGACAUGUUAAAAGAUAUCAGGGUGAGGAAUCCAACAAUCCCUCUCAAUCAUAUGUGCGAAUACAGAAGAACAAGUAAAUCAUACCAGUUCACUUCCAUAAUAUCGAACAAUGUUUGGAUGUGAAAGCUGACUAAGCAAAUUUAUUUCCUGGUUCAGUUGCUUAAGACAUUCUUUUGACGUCUGAUCAUCUGAAACAACUCUGACUUCUUUUAUUGCACACAUCUGUCCACUCUCACUGUUAAAUCCAAGGUAAACAUGUCCAAAACUUCCCCUUCCUAGUAGCUUUCCUUUCUUCCAUUUUGAAACUGGAACAGUUGUGUUUUCAGUCACAACAGGAGUUCUCGUGAUUGGCGGCAAGGAAGAAGGGCUGCUAGGAGAACCUGGUGGGAGAGGCAGUGGAUGACAUUGGCUCUUCCCAUCUUCCAGCCUUCCUGUUGGAGAGUCUAGAUUCAUACCUCCUAACAGUGGAUGAAGGGGCGAUGCAGACCUGCUGGGCCCUCUUGAUGCAGGACCAGGGCUUCUAGAUCCAGGACCAGGGCUUCUAGAACCAGGACCGGGGCUUCUAGACCCGGGACCUGGACUUCUUGAUCCCGCACCUGGGCUUCUUGACUCCAUAUUGAACCUUAUAUCACCUUGUCCUCUAUAACCACCAAAAAGACUAAUGUGAUGAUCAUUAGAAAUCGGGUGAUCCUCAGAGGAAGACCCAGAAGAGCUCACACUGGACAUGGAACCAGAAGCGGACCCAGAUCCAAACCCAACCCCACCAAUCCCAUGAUCACUCCCAGACCCAGACGGCGUAGGAAGUGGAAGCCCUCUCUUCUCGACCAAAUCCGAAUCAAAACCCGAAAACCCGGUAGACCCACCUGCGAAAUCCUUGCUCCCACGUGGGGAAUUCCGGUUCAAAACGACCUCAUCAAAGCUCUUAGGCUUCUGUUUGGUGGUCUUCUUCUUGGUAACAUCAUUUUUCCCAUAUGGGUUAUCUUGCUGCUGCUGCUGCUGCAGCUUCUCCUCUUUGUUCUUGGAGGACUUUUUCCCCCACCAAGCAGGCAUCUCUUUAUCCAAAAAAAACCUCAGAAAAAAGGAGAGAAGAAGAGAGAGACAAAGAGGUUUCUCUAUGGUACCCUGUGUGUACAGAGGAGACUCGAGAAAAAAGUUGCGACUCGCGAUCUGCGUACAGAUUUAUAAGAGGAAACAGAGAGGAAACU